AGUGGCGACCGGGUGAGUAACACGUGACUAACCUACCCUCUGGCGGGGAAUAACCUCGGGAAACCGGGGCUAAUACCGCAUAACUUCCGUGCAAUCAAAGGAGCGCCGGAGGAGGGGGUCGCGGCUGAUUAGCUAGUUGGCGGGGUAACGGCCCACCAAGGCGAUGAUCAGUAGCCGGCCUGAGAGGGCGCACGGCCACACUGGAACUGAAACACGGUCCAGACUCCUACGGGAGGCAGCAGUGGGGAAUUUUGCGCAAUGGGGGAAACCCUGACGCAGCAACGCCGCGUGGAGGAUGAAGUCCCUUGGGACGUAAACUCCUUUCGACCGGGACGAAUGACGGUACCGGUGG
rnacentral:rRNA from 1 species